AACGGCCGUACCAUGCUGAAUAUACCGGUUCUCGUUAGAUCACCGAAGUUAAGCAUCAUUGGGCGCGGUCAGUACUUGGGAGGGUGACCACCUGGGAACACCGCGUGCCGUU